rnacentral:tRNA from 1 species
GGAGAGGUGGCUGAGUGGCUUAAGGCACCGCCCGCGUGCGGUACACGGGCAACCGUGUCGGAGGUUCGAAUCCUUCCCCUCUCCG